GACGAACGCUGGCGGCGUGCUUAACACAUGCAAGUCGAACGGAAAGGCCCUGCUUGCAGGGUACUCGAGUGGCGAACGGGUGAGUAACACGUGGGUGAUCUGCCCUGCACUUCGGGAUAAGCCUGGGAAACUGGGUCUAAUACCGGAUAUUACCUUCCAUGUAGUGUGGGGGGUGGAAAGAUUUAUCGGUGUGGGAUGAGCCCGCGGCCUAUCAGCUUGUUGGUGGGGUAAUGGCCUACCAAGGCGUCGACGGGUAGCCGGCCUGAGAGGGUGGACGGCCACAUUGGGACUGAGAUACGGCCCAGACUCCUACGGGAGGCAGCAGUGGGGAAUAUUGCACAAUGGGCGGAAGCCUUAUGCAGCGACGCCGCGUGGGGGAUGACGGCCUUCGGGUUGUAAACCUCUUUCGACAGGGACGAAGCUUCGGUGACGGUACCUGUAGAAGAAGCACCGGCUAACUACGUG
rnacentral:rRNA from 1 species